ACGGAGGGUGCAAGCGUUGUUCGGAUUUAUUGGGCGUAAAGCGCGUGUAGGCGGUUUGUUAAGUCUGAUGUGAAAGCCCUGGGCUCAACCUGGGAAGUGCAUUGGAUACUGGCAGACUUGAAUACUGUUGAGGGUAGUGGAAUUCCUAGUGUAGGAGUUAAAUCCGUAGAUAUGACGCGGAACACCGAUGGCGAAGGCAGCUACCUGAACUAUAACUGACGCUCAUGCGCGAAAGCGUGGGGAGCAAACAG
rnacentral:rRNA from 1 species